UGGGGAAUUUUGGACAAUGGGGGAAACCCUGAUCCAGCCAUCCCGCGUGUGCGAUGAAGGCCUUCGGGUUGUAAAGCACUUUUGGCAGGAAAGAAACGUCAUGGGUUAAUACCCCGUGAAACUGACGGUACCUGCAGAAUAAGCACCGGCUAACUACGUGCCAGCAGCCGCGGUAAUACGUAGGGUGCAAGCGUUAAUCGGAAUUACUGGGCGUAAAGCGUGCGCAGGCGGUUCGGAAAGAAAGAUGUGAAAUCCCAGAGCUCAACUGUGGAACUGCAUUUUUAACUACCGGGAUAGAGUGUGUCAGAGGGAGGUGGAAUUCCGCGUGUGGCAGUGAAAUGCGUAGAUAUGCGGAAGAACACCGAGGGCGAAGGCAGCCUCCGGGGAUAACACUGACGCUCAUGCACGAAAGCGUGGGGAGCAAACAGG
rnacentral:rRNA from 1 species